UAUGACAAGUAGAGGCACCCGCUUCUCACCUGUUCAACGCUAAAGCUGUUGACUGGUUACAACAUGUUUAAACGUUUUAACUUUGACGACGUGUGGGUGCAUUUAUGUGCCCACUUUUUUAAUGGAUA
rfam:Ornithinibacillus halophilus strain IBRC-M 10683 genome assembly, contig: Ga0104432_1027